rnacentral:rRNA from 1 species
GACGAACGCUGGCGGCGUGCUUAACACAUGCAAGUCGAACGAUGAACCCGGAGCUUGCUCCGGUGGAUUAGUGGCGAACGGGUGAGUAACACGUGAGUAACCUGCCCUUGACUCUGGGAUAACUGCGGGAAACUGUAGCUAAUACCGGAUACGACCCUCGGCGGCAUCGCCAGGGGGUGGAAAGAAUUUCGGUCAAGGAUGGACUCGCGGCCUAUCAGCUAGUUGGUGAGGUAACGGCUCACCAAGGCGACGACGGGUAGCCGGCCUGAGAGGGUGACCGGACACAGGGGGACUGGGACACGGCACAGGGUCCAACGGGAGGCAGCAGGGGGGAAUAUUGCACAAUGGGCGCAAGCCUGAAGCAGCAACGCCGCGUGAGGGAUGACGGACUUCGGGUUGUAAACCUCUUUUAGUCGGGAAGAAGCGAAAGUGACGGUACCUGAAGAAAAAGCACCGGCUAACUACGUGCCAGCCGCCGCCGUAA